rnacentral:tRNA from 1 species
GGGUGUUUAGCUCAGUUGGUAGAGCCCCGGCCUUUUAAGCCGGUUGUCAUGGGUUCGAGCCCCAUAGCACCUA